rnacentral:rRNA from 1 species
GAUGAACGCUGGCGGCGUGCCUAAUACAUGCAAGUCGAGCGAACGGACGAGAAGCUUGCUUCUCUGAUGUUAGCGGCGGACGGGUGUGUAACACGUGGAUAACCUCCCUAUAGGACUGGGAUAACUUCGGGAAACCGGAGCUAAUACCGGAUAAUAUUUUGAACCGCAUGGUUCAAAAGUGAAAGACGGUCUUGCUGUCACUUCUAGAUGGAUCCGCGCUGCAUUAGCUAGUUGGUAAGGUAACGGCUUACCAAGGCAACGAUGCGUAGCCGACCUGAGAGGGUGAUCGGCCACACUGGAACUGAGACACGGUCCAGACUCCUACGGGAGGCAGCAGUAGGGAAUCUUCCGCAAUGGGCGAAAGCCUGACGGAGCAACGCCGCGUGAGUGAUGAAGGUCUUCGGAUCGUAAAACUCUGUUAUGAGGGAAGAACAUAUGUGUAAGUAACUGUGCACAGCUUGACGGUACCUAAUCAGAAAGCCACGGCUAACUACGUG